GAAAGGCUGUAGCUCAGUGGUACAGAAUCUGCUUUGCAUGCAGGAAGUCCAAGGUCCGAUCCCCGGCGUCUUCA